CAUGUAGGCGGUCAAUCAAGUCAGUUGUGAAAGUCCUGGGCUUAACCCAGGAAGUGCAUCUGAAACUGUUUGGCUAGAGUACAGGAGAGGAAGGUGGAAUUCCUGGUGUAGAGGUGAAAUUCGUAGAUAUCGGGAAGAACACCGGUGGCGAAGGCGGCCUUCUGGCCUGAUACUGACGCUGAGAUGCGAAAGCGUGGGGAGCAAACAGGAUUAGAUACCCUGGUAGUCC
rnacentral:rRNA from 1 species